rnacentral:rRNA from 1 species
AGCUUGCUCUCGGGUGACGAGCGGCGGACGGGUGAGUAAUGUCUGGGAAACUGCCUGAUGGAGGGGGAUAACUACUGGAAACGGUAGCUAAUACCGCAUAACGUCGCAAGACCAAAGUGGGGGACCUUCGGGCCUCAUGCCAUCAGAUGUGCCCAGAUGGGAUUAGCUAGUAGGUGGGGUAACGGCUCACCUAGGCGACGAUCCCUAGCUGGUCUGAGAGGAUGACCAGCCACACUGGAACUGAGACACGGUCCAGACUCCUACGGGAGGCAGCAGUGGGGAAUAUUGCACAAUGGGCGCAAGCCUGAUGCAGCCAUGCCGCGUGUGUGAAGAAGGCCUUCGGGUUGUAAAGCACUUUCAGCGGGGAGGAAGGCGAUAAGGUUAAUAACCUUGUCGAUUGACGUUACCCGCAGAAGAAGCACCGGCUAACUCCGUGCCAGCAGCCGCGGUAAUACGGAGGGUGCAAGCGUUAAUCGGAAUUACUGGGCGUAAAGCGCACGCAGGCGGUCUGUCAAGUCGGAUGUGAAAUCCCCGGGCUCAACCUGGGAACUGCAUUCGAAACUGGCAGGCUAGAGUCUUGUAGAGGGGGGUAGAAUUCCAGGUGUAGCGGUGAAAUGCGUAGAGAUCUGGAGGAAUACCGGUGGCGAAGGCGGCCCCCUGGACAAAGACUGACGCUCAGGUGCGAAAGCGU